GAAUAGGAAAAGGGAACCAUAAAGGACUUGAGAGAUCCCAUCACUCGAUUCUAAAUAGCACCAACUACUUGCCAAAGUUAAUACACUCUCACCACAUCUUAAAUAGUAACCGAAGAAAACACAAUUACAAUAUAUAUCCAUUAUCUGUCAUCUCAUGUAGCUUCACUUCUUCUUCUUCACAAUCUCAUAUCUGAUCUCUCUCUCCCUAUUGCUUUUCUAUAAUCACUUUAUAGUUGAUAAUACUUUCAAGUGUUCUAAAUUUUGGAGUCGUAGAAACUAUUAAGAGGACGGCAAGUGAUUAUUUUGACCCAUUGGUUUGCUUUUAUAGCAACUUUGAUUUCUUUGAUUAAACUGCACUGCGUUAAGAUCAUGUCACUCCCAGGAUACAACGAGAUGCCGCCGUCGAGGACGACGGAACUUACUUUCCCUGAAGCAUGGACAGACACGUCCUGGGGAUUUGACCCGGCCUCAAGACGACUCACGUUCUCCGGGAACGUGUUAGAGACUACUACCAUCGUAGGACAGGAUCCGAAGACCACCUACUCCCGCAGGACCAUGAGCUUUCAGAUCCCAGCUUCCUUGGUCAUUACUAGCUUCCUCUAUGGAGUGAUUGACCGCUUCAGAUUGUUGAUUCCCCCUCCAGCCCCACCUGGACCCGCAUAUACCCCAGUCAUGGGAGGGGGGCCAUUCUUUCACGAUAUACCUAUGCCUCCCUUAGACUUAGAGAUGUCAUUAGGGCUACCCUCGAUGAUUCCUCGUGACAUUUUUCUCGUGGGCGAGUUACCUCAUCUUGAUCCGACACACGCGCCAUCAUUGGAGGAUGAUAUAGAUGGAGCAGAGGACAAUGACGAUUAUGAUCCCUCCGAGCAUGACAACGACGAGGAUGGCUCCGAUCAUACAUUGUCGAGCGCCUGUAGGGGAUUAUGUGGAGCUGGGGCAGGGGAGUAUUGUGGAUGUCGAUAGAUUCAGAUUAGCGUAGUUAGGGACUAGACGGUAGUAGCAUUUAGUACUAAAUGGCGGGUUUCUAUAUGAGUGGCUCGAGAUUUUCUCCCUGGGGUUGUUCUCCUGUGUGAGUGUCUGCCGGGGACUUUUAUUCUAUCACUUUAUGGGUUGUAUUUCCUAACCACUAUUCGUACUUAUAUCUUGUGACGCUAUGUCGAGUUUAUGCUUAGUAUGGUUAUUAAGUUUUAAUCUAGUUUAACUAAUUUCCCUUUAUAAAAUCUAGUAUGAAUUCUUAAAAUCAAUCUAAAUAUAAAAUUCACUAUAUGCUUAAAUAAAAAAAAAGGGGGACACUAUUUCUCACAAGGAAAACCAUUAACUAGUUUAGUUGUCGAAAUAAUCCAUUUUUUAAUUCACUCUUGUUGUUAAAAAUUGGGGUGUCACACGCCAAAUGAUAUGGCGCAUUAGUUUACAAUAUGCCAACCAAUUUGGCGCAAACAAUAAAAUUUUAGGGCAAAAUGUUGCUAGCCAAAUCAUUUUCCGCAUUAGGGCAUGAAGCAACACAUAGGCGCCAUUUCAUUUGGCUCCUAUGUGUUGGGGUAUUUUUUUAAAAAAAAUAUUCGUUUUGUGUUUUUUUUCGCACAGUUUCUGAUUCCGGUAUUUUAAUUUCAUAAAAAAGUUCGAUAAACCGAUUUCAUAUGGUUCUUAUUAACCCUAAAUAAUGUUUGCGUUGUCGAUUUCGGUUUUUUAAUAAAGCACACUUUAUUGAUGAAAGACUAAAAAAAGGUUACAAAAGAUGGUAAACGAAAUUGAUACAUUGUCGUAAAAAUAAAUUACAAAGUAGAUUAAACUUGCGACGAGGUCGAACCACGACUAGGACAUUUAUUUUUAUUAUGCCCCACCUGAUGACAAAUGCUGCAUUUUCUUUCCAUUUUGUCGUGGACGUCCAUUUCGGUUCUAAUUCGCGUACUAUUGGGGCGACCAUUUUUCUUUCGCCGCAUUGCGUCAUUAUGCCAAACUACCUCCCCAUCAUACUCAGACCAGUAAUCCUCCUUGGCUACCACUGGAAACGCAGCACUGUAAACUCGGAGCAAUGUCUGAGCCAUGUAAAUUGGAGAUAGUAUUGAUAUUGCGUCGCGGUGCGCAAACUCACAUGCCGCUAUGACAUGUGAGCAAGGCAUAAGGAAAGCUUGAAACUUUCCACAGUCGCACCAAUGGUCGUCUAGCAGAACCCGAUAUUCUUGUCUUGGCAAACCCUCGUUGAGAAUUACGAAUCCAUCCUAAAGUAGGUUGCCUCCACCAGUGCAGUGAUAGGAAGGCUAUGAAUGCCUUUGAAAACUCCAUUCAUGGAUUCUACCAGAUUUGUCGUCAUGUGGCCCCAUCGCACGCCUUUGUCAUAAGCCCUUGUCCAUUUCUCCCUGGAAAGGUUAUCUAUCCAAGUUCCCGCAUCUGGAUUUGUCAAUACAAUCUCACUCUGAUAAUGUUGGAAUGUAUGUUGGGUUAAUGCAUAACCAGCAUUGACCAGGGCCUUCCUGAGCUGCCUAUCCUUGAUCUCCCGCAUGAAGUUCUGGACAAUAUGGCGAAUACAAUACACAAGAGUUGAUGGUGGGUCAUGCCAUCUGUUUGCUUGAUUGUUAUAAGCACUCUCAAUGGAAGCGUGCCUAUCGGAGAUUAAACAGAGGUCAGGCUGAGGAGCAACAUGUUCUCGAAGAUUCCUUAGAAAGAAACUCCAAGCCGCGGCAGUUUCACCUUCAACUAUUGUGAAUGCAACUGGAAAUAUAUUGUUGUUUCUGUCCCGUGAAACCGCCAUCAGCAUGGUUCCCUUGUAUUUUCCGUAUAACCAUGUUCCAUCGAUUUGAAGUAUGGGUUUACAGUACAAAAAAAAAAAAACCAAUACUGCAAAUUGAUGGAACUUGGUUAUAUGGUAAAUACAAAGGAACCGUGUUGAUGGAUGUUGCACAAGAUGGAAACAACAAUAUAUUUCCAGUAGCACUCGCAAUAAUGGAAGAUGAAACUGCCGCGGGUUGGAGUUUCUUUCUAAGGAAUCUCCGGGAAUAUGUUGCUUUUCAACCUGAUCUUUGUUUAAUCUCUGAUAGGCAUGCUUCCAUUGAAAGUUCUUACAACAAUCCAGCAAACGGAUGAAAACACCCACCAUCAACACAUGUAUACUGUAUUCUCCAUAUUGCCCAGAAUUUCAUGCGGGAGAUUAAGGAUAGACACCUCUGGAAAACACUGGUCAAUGCAUGAUAUGCAUUAACUCAACCUACAUUCCAACAUUAUCGGAGUGAAAUUGUAUUAUCAAAUCCAGAUGCGAGAAGUUGGAUUGAUAACCUUUCCAAGGAGAAAUGGACCAGGGCUUACGACAAUGGCGUGGGAUGGGGCCAUAUGACAACAAAUCUAGUAGAAUCCAUGAAUGGUGUUUUUAAGGGCAUUUGAAACCUUCCUAUCACUGCACUGGUGGAGGCAACCUACUUUAGGAUGGCUUCGCUAUUCUCAACAAGAGGUAAGAUGUGGAGUGCUGUUGGAGAAUCAGGUCAACUAUUCAGCGAGAGUUGCAUGAAAUUUAUAAAAGAACAAUCAGCGAAGGCCAACAGCCAUCAUGUAAUUGCUUUCGAUCGAUUCAACCGCACCUUCAGUGUUCGAGAAACAAUUGACCACAAUGAAGGAUUGUUGAGACAACAAUAUCGGGUUCUACUAGAUGAUCAUUAGUGUGACUGUGGAAAGUUUCAAGCAUUUCGUAUGCCUUGCUCACAUGUCAUAGCAGCAUGUGCAUUUGUGCACCGAGACGCAUUAUCACUACUAUCUCCAAUUUACAAGGCUGGGACAUUGCUCCAGGUAUACAGUGUAAUAUUUCCAGUGUUAGCGAAGGAGGAUUACUGGCCUGAGUAUGAUGGGGAGGUAGUUUAGCAUAAUGACACAAUGCGACGAAAGAAAAAGGGUCUCCCCAACAGUUCUCGUAUUCGAAAUGAAAUGGACGUGCAUGACAAAAUGGAAAGAAAAUGUAGCAUUUGUUGUCAACUAGGGCACAAUAAAAAGAAAAUUCCUAGUCGUGGAACAACCUCAUCGCAUGUUUAAUUAACUUUGUAACAUAUUUUUACGAUAAUGUAUAUACUUUGUAACAUAUUUUUACGAUAAUGUAUCGACUUUGUAACAUAUUUUUAAUCAAUGAACUCUACUUUAUUAAGCGCCGGAAUCGAUAACAUAAACAUUAAAUAACAUAAUUAGGGUUAAUGACAAUUUUACGAAAUCGGCAUAUCGGACAUUAUUGAAAAAUUCGGAGAGAAAAUUGAAGACCGGAAUCGAAAACUUUGCGCGAAAUAAAACGAAUUGGGGUAUUUUUUAUAUUAAAAACCCUAACACAUAGGAGCCAUUUCAAAUGGCUCCUAUGUGUAAAAAUCAACACAUAGGUGCCAAAUGGUAUCGCUCGUUCACCAAAAUUUUAUACCAAUGCGCCAUUUGGUUUGGCGCAUAUCCCAGGGUGUACUGCCAAACCUAAACACUUUGGUAAAUUUUCUGAAAAACUGGUUUUAUUUUGUAUUUUUUUUAAACCUGGUUAUUUAAUUUUUUUUUUUGAAAAAAUUUUACUCUGAUAAAUGUUCUAAAUGUGAUCAACUGUUUAAGAUUAUGUUAUGUCAAAUAAAAAUGAUAUCAAACUAACCUCAAGAAUUGGUAAAUAUGUAAAAACCUGUAAGUGUCGAAAUCCUGUUUUUGCUGGCAGCUAACACCUGCAACAGAUUACUUUAUUGUUACUCAAUAAAUUGUUAAAUAAGCACACACAAUAUGAUCAAUACUUGAUACAUCAAAACAACCUGGAGUCAAGGUUAACUUGC